rnacentral:rRNA from 1 species
GGAGUUAGCCGGUGCUUCUUCUGCGAGUAACGUCACAGCUAGCAGGUAUUAACUACUAACCUUUCCUCCUCGCUGAAAGUGCUUUACAACCCGAAGGCCUUCUUCACACACGCGGCAUGGCUGCAUCAGGGUUUCCCCCAUUGUGCAAUAUUCCCCACUGCUGCCUCCCGUAGGAGUCUGGGCCGUGUCUCAGUCCCAGUGUGGCUGAUCAUCCUCUCAGACCAGCUAGGGAUCGUUGCCUAGGUGAGCCAUUACCUCACCUACUAGCUAAUCCCACCUGGGCUUAUCCAUCAGCGCAAGGACCGAAGUUCCCCUGCUUUCCCCCGUAGGGCCGUAUGCGGUAUUACGCAGUCGUUUCCAACUGUUAUCCCCACAAAUGGGCAAAUUCCCAGGCAUUACUCACCCGUCCGCCGCUCGUCAUCUUCAAAAGCAAGCUUUUGAAAUGUUACCGCUCGACUUGCAUGUGUUAGGCCUGCCGCCAGCGUUCAAUCUGAGCCAUGAUCAAACUCUGA